CUUCUAUCUCUUCAGUUGGUAAUCGUUGGCACAGGCCACAGUGUUCAAGAAGAUGAUUUUUCUUUUCAUCUAAUUAUGACUAAGUUAAGGACACAGUGAGAAUUGUUCAGUACCAGACUGCUCCUUUCAGAAAAUUAAGCCAAUGGAAGUUCCUUGCAUAUUGUUACUUAUGUUAGGAUAUCUUGAUAAUUACAUAUGAAUUUCUGAUAAGCACAUUUUUGAAAACACAAUACAAAUGUAAGUUAGUUAGCAAAAUUGCUAUUGCAAUUGCAACACACAGCUCAGUCAGAAAACCAGGGUGAAUUCUGCUACCAGUUAGUCAUGUGCUGCCAAAAUUGUAUUUCUUUAAUCACAAGGUUUUCUUAGGAUAUUUACAGACCUGGGUCCUUGUGCCUGUGUUUUCAAAACCCCUGUUGUCAUCACAAACUUUGUUUCAUUUUUAUUCUCAAGUCAUAUAGUUUAUUCUACACUUGCACACAUAUACAUACCCUUAAUGAUCAAGUCCUGUGGAUGUAUGUCUAUAUAUAUGUAUGUGCAUUGAGUAUAUAAAUAAAAGCAUUAGUGCAUAUAAGUGUUUAUAAACACAUAGGAUUUUUUCACCACACAUGUAAUGUGUAUGUGUACACCCAUUUAAUAGUGGUGUGUACGUGUAUUCGUACACCUCAGAAAACCGUAGAUUUUGCACUACUAAUCUGUGUAGAGCUGAAGCUCACACAAACUCAUUCUGAUAUAAUAGAGGCAAAAGUAUGGCAACUAAUGAUAUUUAUUCAAAGUUGAGGUUUAUUUUGAAUUUUUACUCUUGUACCUGUCAAAGUCUGGACAGGGUUGCAUUGCAUGGCACUGUAUGCAUUUCACCCUCUAAACAAAUUUUUGUCUCACCACUGUAUUGCAUCAAACAUACAAUCAUAGAUUAUCUUGAGUUGGAAAGUACUCACAAGGAUCACUGAGUGCAAAUCCUGGCUCCACACAGCACCACACAGAAUUCAAACCCUGUGUGUGAAAGUAGUAUCCAAAUGCUCCUGGGAGCCCAUGCCCACUGCCCUCUGGUGAAGAAAUUUUUUAUAAUGCCCAGCCUGACCUCCCCCAAGGCAUCUCCAUGCCCUUCCCUCAGGUCCUGUUGCUGUCACCAGAGGAGAGAUCAGCACUGAAACAUAAAAAAAAGGUAACAUUUCUCUAAAUAAAAUCAUUCUAACAGUAUGCUUUUGUUCCCUUAAGUGUGUAGCCAGGGGUUUCUUUCUUUAUGCAUUUGAGGGGCAAGAAUGUUGUACAAAGAAAGAAUGAACUAAUAAUUACCAGUCAGAUCAAGGAGUGAAAAUAAUCCUUCCCUAUGUUUUCUUCCUCUCCUAUAUGCUGUGUUUGUAGGCAAUGAGAAGUAUACUCAUAACAGUACCUCUUCCUCCUAGGGGUUUUGAUCACGUUACUACAGUCAGCAGAGCAUUAAGAGCCAUCUAGGUGCAGCUGAGGGAGCAGCAGGGUAGCUUUGGAGGGAGCUGGGUUGAGGGGCUGAGCUGAAGUGUCUUUGCUUUAUUCUGACUAUCAAUAAUCCCCAGGCAGCUCCACAGCAAUAGGGCUGGAACAGCCUAGGAGUUCCCAGAAGUAUACUGGCUGCCAGUGGUCAGAAUGAGAGCAAAUUGAAUCACUAAUCAGUUUAAAUACCAGAAUCUCAAUACUGAGAUUUUUAUUAACUAGUCUGAAACUACUUCAAUGGAAUUUUUAAAACUAAUUCCGAUAAGAAGGGUAGUGCAGUACACAAGGUAGUAAAUAAGUAGUCUGUAUUUAUAGCAGAUCAAAGGAGCCUGUUGUGUUGUAAGAAUCAAGGUUGUCUUUUCAAAAUAAUUCUUUCACCUGAGCUCAAAGUAAAGUAUUUAGGUUUUCCCUAUAGUAAUUAGUAAAGAACUGAUGUACUCUCUUCCAAUAUAUAUCACAUUUACAUUGUUUGUUUUAAAUGUAGAAAAUAAAUCCUGUAAUUUGCAUAUUAUUUACUGUAAAAUAUUCAGGAGUUUUCUUUUAAGGAAAGGUUGCCAGAUGUUCUUACUGGCUAUCAGCCAGUAACUUGAGCAUGAGGCAGAACACUUCAAAAGCUUUAGGUGUGAGAUUUGUCCACUACUGAUCAAACUGAAAUACUAAGAAAUAUUUGCAGAAAAUAAAUAUUUAUAUGCCUUAGUAAAACAUCCAUGCUUCCUGCAUUUUUUGAAUCUCAAGUUAGAUUGACAUCUUACCUUUUAAGGGUGGCUGUUUAAAAACAAAGCAACAACAAAACAGGGGAAAGAUAAUGGAAAUGGUUAUAAUGCUAAAAUAUACUUUUCUUGGUGUAAUUGACAUAAGAUCAAGGGCUACGGUUUUAUAGUAGCACUUUCUGUCCUCUUGUCUGUGUCAGUGUGACUUUAUGUAAAAGUCUGGGUAUGAAGGUUAAUAGGAUUGUGCAGCUUGCGAAAACCCUCAGAUCUCUAACUUCCUCUCAAUUCUGAACCAUACUGAAAUUAAACUUUUAACAUUGCCUUUAAUGCUUAUCCCAACAGUGUUCUUGUUUUUCCUCCAGAGAAAUAAUCAGUAGAAGGACAAAAUGAAGGUAUGUUUGCAGAUUUUAAAGUGACCGCCCCUUGCAAAUCUCACACUCAGCAGAACUGAGGUCAGCAGGAAGGAACCACAUUGCCUUCCAAGCAGUAUCAGGCACUUUGAACUGCAGGCUCUGAAAUUUCCAGUCUCUCUCUUGUAGUGGUGAAUUCCUUCCCAGGCAUUCCGUUUUGCCUAACAAGCAGAAAAAAAACCCUUAAGCAGUCAUUGAACAUCUGAGGAAUAAUAUCACUGGUGCUCUGAUUAAAAAUUGGUAUCUCAAAAGUGUUUCAUGAUUGGAAAUAAUUACAAAUGAUGAUGGAUCAGGUGUACAGCAGUGGUGACCACUUGUUGGCUUAACACAUAGAAGAAAGAAAGAAUACUUCAGAGAAGAAUUACAGGUGACGCUGUAAGGCAAAUCUGAAAUUACGUUAACAAAUACAUUAUAUGAAAAGGCAAGUUCUACUGAAUAUUCUUUUUGAAGUGACUAACCUCAUGCUUUAGAGUAGGGAACUUUAAUAGUGAAAUAGUAAAAGCAUAGACAUUGAGAAAUGUUAAUAUGAAUACUGUCAAAUUCAAGUAUUUGAAUUACAAAUGGGUUGCAUACAUUCAUGACUUGGUUAGAUCUCAAAACUCCCAACAUUGAUAACUCUUACUGUGGAAA
ensembl:lncRNA